rnacentral:lncRNA from 1 species
GGCCAUGAAAUCUGACCAACUGCUAGCUACUUACACGCAUGCUUACAACGCUAGUUUCCAGUGAGGAAGCACUCAGUACAGUUGAUUGGGUUUGCGAUGUGCAGGUCAGGCUCGUGGGGACGGUGAGUGGCAAGGCGGGGAGGAACACGGAUAUGUCACUUCAUCAGAUGGUGAGUUAAUUUCGGCAAAGCGCAAGCUUUUAUUCAAGUUCUAGAUGCGUCUUAGGGGAAUCAGUUUUGGACCUUUAAUUGUGCUCCGCCUGCCAUUGCUGGAUGUCGGUCCUGACAUUUGUCAAAUGCUCCACGUUCAGCCGUCACUUGAAAUGUUGUUGACUGUUAGUUCAAUAGUGCAAUGUUUGAUUAGCCCUACAGGUUGAUAGCCCUCUCUGGUUAAUUAGCCAUUUGAGAGGCAGCAGGAGCAUAACAGGAUACUUUUGGCUCUUAUCACGCUGCAAACGAUUUAAUAAUGGGAGAUCUGCAGUUACUUUACCAUUUCCGACUAAUCAGCCAUUUGAAAGGCACACUAUAAUACUGUACUAUUCGGAUUUGCCUUGGGUCAGAAGGUAAUAUUCGAUCGAAAUUGCUGUUCUUCAGUUUAAGAACCUUCUAUUUUCAUGCGAUGAUAAGUUGCACAUGCUUGUUACCUCAUGUUGACAAGUGCUCUGGUUCAUCAACCCAUCUACUAGUGCUAGAUGUAAGUUGCAAAAUUAUGAAAUCCUGGAGUGCUACCUGAUUGUUGUUGCCUAUCGUUCUGACUCAACGCAUAUAGUUUCAGAUUUCGUCAAGGUUACUCUCUCUGCUCUUGCUCAUGUGCUCUGUCUGUCUACAGCAUAGUGAAUUUUGCACCAACCUAAAGGUUUUGCUUUUGUUCUAACCACGCCAUAAUGUUGUAGGCUAAAUUAUUAUAUAAGAAAUAAAAAAAAUACUCAAUUUCCUUAUCUACAUGCCCAAUCUUCAAGUUUCAUAGUACAAGAACAGGAUAACCAUCCACUUAGCUUAUUUCGAAGAAACCAUCCUUUAGCUGAGGAGGGUGCUCUUGUUGUUACUCAUACAAAGUAAUCUCCAGUCAGUUGCAAUGCUGGACUCCUCUGGUUAAUUAACCAUUUGAGAGGCAGUAGGAGCAUACAUUACUGUGAAAUGCUUAAACUUGUAAGUCUGUAACACUUGCGAAGCAUAAAUAGGAUACUUCUGGCUCUUAUCACAGUGGAAAUGAUUUAAUAAUGGGAGAUCUGCAGUUACUUUACCAUUUCCGACUAAUCAGCCAUUUGAAAGGCAUUACUGUGAAACACUUCAAUUCUUAGCACUGGCUAUGCAUAAUAGAAUACGCCCUCUGUCCGGAAUUACUUUUCGCUCAGAUGGAUGUAUCUAGCAUUGAAAUACAUCUAGAUACAUCCAUUUGAGCGACAAGUACUUUGGGACGGAGGUAGUACUCUACUAUUCGGAUUUGCUUGAGUCUGCCACAUAUUUCAUUAGAGUGCUACUGAAGGCUGAUUGGUUGUUAAACUGGAAGCUUAGCUUUCUUGCCACAAAUCAUAGCUAGUUGGCCAUGAAAUCUGACCAACUGCUACUUACAGGCUAAAAAGCACGGACACGGGGACGGAAAGACGGGGAUACGCAUACGGGGAUACGGGAUACGGCAUUUUUCAGAAACAGCCAUUCGGGGAUACGGCGAGUAUAUAUAAAAUAAAAUAAAAAUAUGCCAUGUAAUAUAGAGUUAAGACAGAAAAUUAAUGAGAAAGAAAUCAAAAUAGAGAAUCCUGCCCCAUUUGGUGUCUCUUUAUAUCAAGUCCUUGAUUGAUCCUCGUCCCCCCAUGCCAUGCAACCUAACAUCAAGCAGUACAAGGAGCAAGUAUUCAUCAAUCAUAAUUCAAGUUCAACAGCAGCACAAGCAUUCAACUAGAAACUAGCAAACAUGACAUGGGUACAACAGGCAACAGCAAGUCAGCAGCAGCGGCAGCAGGCCGGCAGCAAAAGCAUUGAAAUAGCAGCAUGAUUACUACAAUCAUUCAAAGAGCAGCAAGCACACCCUCCAUUAGUUCAAUGGAAGGAAUCAGAAUAAAAGAGAUGAAGAAGUUGAGGAGAGGGCGAGAGGCUGCUGGGUUUGGAGAUUGGGGAGGGUUACCUGCCGUUGGGAGGAGAGGCUGCUGCCUGCUGGUACUGUGGGGUAGCAGUCGCCGGUCGAGUGCAGGUGUCGCCGCUGGUGGCAGCGUUGAGUCCAGGCGGCGGUGGCUUCGAUCCAGGAGGCGGCUUCGAUCCAGGAGAGGCUGCGACCUGGGAGCACAUCGCUUUUGUGUGGAAGAGAUGCAUGCGACUACAUAGGGUUUCGUUUUGGGCCUGUUAUUGGGCCAGGCCGUGUCCCAACCGUGUCACGGAUGUAUCCCAUCGUAUCCCCUCAUUUUUUUUCUUUCUUUUUAAUCGAAAAUCAGGGGAUACUGGGGACACGCGUAUCCUGCCGUAUCCCGCCGUGUCCCCGUAUCCCGCCGUAUCAGAACGGCAGAUCGGCAACUCCUGCCGUGUCCAUGCUUUCUAGCUUACAGGCAUAUACAACGUUAGUUUCCAGUCUUACAAAGAUGGCUCAAAGUGGCUGCUGCAUCAAAGUGUCUGCAGCUAUUUACUUAUAUUAAAUACAAGACGUCUCUUCUGUACAUAUGUUUGUCAAGGAUGAGAUCCACAUGAUUUAGUAUUUAGAGUACUUCAUAGCUAGCUACUCCCUCCGUCCGGGUUUAUUAGGCCCAAAGACCACUUUGAUAGGACCAAGGCAGUGCUAGAAAGCAAACGCUUGAAAAUUAGAGCUGAAAUUGGCCAAUUAGCAGGCUCUCCUCUAGUUUAAAGUAGAUGCUAAAUUAAUGAGCCGUGGCACCUUACAUGCGCAUGCAACCGUAAUAAACAGCCGACGCAGGAAACAAGGCAUUGCAUGGGGCGGCUCGCAGGCAAACGACCGCAUGCACUGGCUUGCAUGCAUGGCUCAUAACUGCUCACUCGGUUAACAAGGCACCGCAUAGGAAUAGGGACCGGAAAAAUGCUGCUAUUGGAGCAGGUUUGGUGUGCGCGGCCUUACAUUUUCGGACGGGGCUUCGUGGCCAGGAGGCCCUUUAAACCCGGAUGGAGGGAGUAGCUAGCUAGCUAGCUACUUUAGUGUUAUGCUCCUAUCAUGAUAAAGAAUGAAUUUUUAUGUUCCUCCUCGUCUUCUUCUGCUCUCUCUGACACCUGUUUCAUCUCUGUAGGCAGGUAGGAGGUACAACGGCCAGCGACCGGGACGACACCAACAGCCAAAGGAAGCUUGAGGUCUGCUCCUUCUCCACCAGUAGAGAGGAGCCUCCUUUUUGGGUUCCGCGUGUCUGCUCCGAGCCUACCAGCGCCGAUGCCAUGGAAGGUACCCUCCACGUCUCUCAUCUCUCUGUUCGGUCACGUAUGGUUCUAUGCUGAUUCCUUUUUUCUUUCUCUCUCUCUCUCCGAUUUAAACGUGCUUAGAUCCUUGAGUCGGAAGGUAGCUUUUAUUAGUUUGAUUGAAACUGCUCUCCAGUUUAACAACCUUAUGUUUUUGUGUGAUGUUGACAAGUGCUCUGCUUCAGCAGCCCAUAUACCAAUGCUUCUUGUCUGUGGCUAGCUAUUUCUCUUGAUUUUACUUCUUAUAAUUCUCGCUGUUCCCAAUCAUUGUCAUUGUCUGUAGCUAGCUUCCAGCUGUCAUGACCAAUGCUUCUUGUCUGUUCAUAUGCAGAUUUACUCAGGCACGCGAAGCGUAAUGAGGAGCAGCUGCUGGGCGUGAUGUUGAUCGAUCCUAGCCUGUCUUCCGGCUCUCAGUGAUUUGCUCCUCGAGGUGUAUGCCGUGCUGCACCUGAAUCCUGUUGACUACGAGCAGCGGAACGCCUUGUUUGAUGUAUUCAGCAACAUGGCAACUAAAAUCUUUGGUAAGAGAUGAUAUAGUUUGCCUUUGUUACUAAUAAUGUGAUCACUGAAUAGCAUGAUGAACUUGUCGCAGAGUAGAGAAAGAUAACAUCGUCAUGAAUAUUAUCUCUCUUCCAGUUAUACUCCCUCCGUAACUUAAUAUAAGAUGCUUUUUGACACUAUGCCAGUGUCAGAAAACAUAUUAUAUGAAGUUACGGAGGGAGUAGUAAUCAGCGGUUUUACUCUUUGUAUUUGAGAUUUCUCAAAAACUCUCGUUACUUAUGUUAUCUAUCUACUUACGGAGGGAGUAGUAAAACUAAUAAGAAGAAUACCAUUCUUAAUAUGUUUGAUUCUGGUUAUUUGUUAUCUAUCUACUUAUGUUAUCUAGCAUCUACACGAUACUUUUGUGGAAGGUGGACUGUCGCUGUCAGAAAUCAGAAAUACUAUUUUCUUGGCUUUGGUCUUUUGGACAGUUGAAGUUUGUGAAUAAUCAUGCUGUGUUGUUAGUUGUUACUUUAAGUAUGGUCCCUGAACUGCUAGUGGCCCUUGAAUUGUACUCCCUCCAUUCCUAAAUAUAAGUCUUUCUAGAGAUUUCAAUAGGGACUACAUUCAUUUUCCUCCGUAUGUAGUCUCUUUUGGAAUCUGUAGAAAGACUUGUAUUUAAGAGUGGAGGGAGAAUUUGGGUUAACCAAUACCAAGUUUGUGUCCCAUUUAGCGAUAUUUGUCUUUCUUUUUUUUUCUCCCUGAAACGCUAGGGGGCUAUAUUUGAGACCAUUGAAUUUAUAUGACCGUUUCAUGUGUUUCUGUCCAUUGAACCUUAUGUUUUUGUGUGGGUUUUGAAUGAGGUUGCUAACUUUGUAUGAUGCACAACGUCAUAAAUACUCCCUCUCUGUAAAGAAAUAUAAGAUCCUUUGGAUCAUGAAUGAUCUAAAGGAUCUCAUUUCUUUACAGAGAGACUAAGAGAAAAGCACACGAUGAAAUACGUAAGAGAAAAGGACGGCUUGACAUCAACUGACUCAGAUGAACACAAUAAAUACUACAUGUUUGUUAUUUUUGCGAAAUACGUAAGAGAAAAGAACGGCACAUCAACUGACUCAAACGAACACAAAUACUACGGCGCCCUGGGACAACAGGGAACAGGGCAGGAGUUACGGAAAUGUAAAUCGUCGCGUUGCGCCAUCAUGGCGCCGCAGUGGGAGUCGCCGGGUGGGCCUCCUCGUCGUCGGUCUUCAUGUUCAUCCAGCUCGAUGGAUGUGGCUUGGCCCCUUCGUCGAUGCUUGGGAGGCCGUGGGGAGUCUCCAUGCGGUGCGCGAUUGCUUGCAUCAAGGAGAGCAAGCUCUCCUUCAGGGCAGCGUCCGCCCCAACUAGCCUCCGCUGAGGCGGCUGACGAAGCGGCAAAACCAUUUGCAUGGCUUGGUCCAACUCGGAGAACUUUUGCUUGUGGACGUUGAAGGUGAUCUGUAGGUGGGACUGGGACGACUCGGAUGAGUGGGAGAGGAGGGAGGAGACUAAGAAAAGCAUGAUCAUGGUCAUCAUCUUGGCCAUGCCUGUUGUUUUGUGCUUUGUGGUGAACGUUGCUUGAUUCUACCAGUGACUGGGAGAGAUGGAUUAUAUAUAUGCUCUGCUACUGCCUGGUUAGUACUCAGGCUCAGGCUCCUCAUCGUUUAGGUUGGUUCUAGGUAGCGUAGUCAUUAGGUGUGACUGAGCAGCGAAGGAGAGCUAGUGUAGUGCUAAGUAGGUUGGUUCUAGGUAGCGUAGCGAGACAGAGUAGUGCUUCUCAUCCUCCCCGCUCGCUAGUACUCCCUCCAUAAAAAAAUAAAUAUAAAUAUAAGUGUGUUUAGAUCACUAAAGCAGUGAUCUAAAUGCUCUAUAUUUCUUUACAGAGGGAGUAUUUUUCUUGCAACCUCCUGUGAAAAAAAAGGCUAUAGUUUUCUAGUCGUUUUUUUUUGCGAAUUAAACAUAAUAUUUGUGGGUAUUAAAAACAUGAAUUUCUCGUUACUCUUUUUGACACAGGCCUAUGAAAAACGGCCUUUCAGUAUCCAUCGUACGACGGAGAUGUUGAAGAAGAGGCCGAUGAGGUGGUUCCUGACGGAUUUGAAGAGGUGGAGUGUUAUGCAACGGCCCAACCCAGGGAGGAGGCCCAAGGCCUCUCGUCGCUCCCGCCCGCUGGAGCCUGGAGGACUGGAGAGAGAUAGAGGAGUGCCACGGCAGCUGAAGAUAAAAGGAAGGAAGUGGAGACAGA